GCAAACUUGGUCAUUUAGAGGAAGUAAAAGUCGUAACAAGGUCAUCGUAGGUGAACCUGCGGUGGGAUCAUCAACAGUUCCAACACCUUACAAGCAGCUGCAGCCCCAGCCCGGUCUUCCUCCCCCAGGGAGGGGACAGGUGUCUGGCGGCAGCGUUGCACCCUUCAUGUGAACCUUUUCUGCUGUUUUGUCUAUGUGGCCGAACCCACUUUUUCUUAUUCUCUGCAGUCUGCUGCUGGGGGAUAAGAAGGGGGAGGGAAUGGCAACAUUAGCGAGACAACAACCCUCUAUGCGCUUCCCUUUGCGCCUCUGUGCACGAGGGGAAUGCGUUGUUAAAAAACACCAAAAAGUAACUAAAUGUGAACAAGUAAUAUACCAACAUAGUUGGAAAAGCAUACAAUGCAAAUACAACUAUCAACGGUGGAUCACUUGGCUCUUGCAUCGAUGAAGAACGCAGC
rnacentral:misc_RNA from 1 species